rfam:TPA: Bos taurus chromosome 4, whole genome shotgun sequence.
UAGCUCAGUUGGUAAAGAAUCUGCCUGUAAUGCAGGAGUCCCUGGUUCGAUUCCUGG